UACAGAGGUCUCAAGCGUUGUUCGGAUUCAUUGGGCGUAAAGGGUGUGUAGGUGGCGCGCUAAGUCGGGUGUGAAAUUUCGGAGCUUAACUCCGAAACUGCAUUCGAUACUGGCGUGCUUGAGGACUGGAGAGGAGACUGGAAUUCAUGGUGUAGCGGUGAAAUGCGCAGAUAUCAGGAAGAACACCCUGGCGAAGGCGGCUCUCUGGGACGUGACUGACGCUGAGACGCGAAAGCGUGGGGAGCGAACAGG
rnacentral:rRNA from 1 species